rnacentral:lncRNA from 1 species
GAAUAUUUGUUAUGGGCACCACAUAAACUAUUUAAUUAUAUCAUUUCAUGUAGGAAAUUGAAGUUGACGAUUAUUCUAAUUGAAAAUACAAAAUAUACUCUUAAAAUGAACUUUUUCCAUUUUAAUGGGGUACAGAGGGAGUUAGAUGAAAUUAAAUUAAAAUUUAUGCUCAUGUUUCACGAUUUGAUCAUCAUAACUGGAAAUGAGAAAAUAUAUGUGUACCAAGGGUUACCUUUAAUAAUACACAUAUGGAAUAUGGAUUCUAUCAUAAAAGAUUUAAUCAUUCUCUCCUCAUUGUCAUAAGGGAAGUACAAGCACUUGAUUUUUAUCAAGAGAAAAAAAAUCCUAAUAUAACUUACUAAUGAUUAUGUACAUAUAAAUUAAUCUACAUUGUCAAAAUAAGAUGAAUCCUCAACAAUGAAAAAAGUUGGUAAUUCGAUCUCAAAAGGGGUGCAGGUUUCUACUCAAUUCAUGCAUGUUGGUAAAGAAUCCGAAUAGCCCGUGUUUGUAUGGCAAAAGUGAUCUUCGUUUAUUGCUCCCUUUUCUUGCUUUAUUUGUCACAUAAAGCUUCUCAUAAGCCGUUAAUGUAUUUUUGGUUCACCUCUCUCUUUUAAUAAUGAUGUUUUCUACAUUGGGCUUUAUUGACGUUUUUGACUCUGAAGGAUUCAAUAUACAAAAGAAUCCUUAUGGUCACUGUUACUUCGAAGAUCCAAAUUUUGUCUAAAUCUCCAGAGAUUUGAUGAUCCUGUUGAGUUGCUUUUCUCGUAACACUCACUUGAAGCCUUCAUUGUAUUUGCAAUAUCUCAUUUUGAGUUUCUUUAGAAAUACCACUCGAUAUUGAUUGUGGACUUAAAUCUUAAUAAAGUAGUUCUUUAGAGGAUGUCGAAUAUGUGAGCAUUGUUAUUUUAUGGUGGGGAAUAAUUGAAGCGAUUGGUCAAAAGUAGGCAGUAAUGCUCUCAUUUUUCCAUUUUCAAAUAUGUCAUCGGCAAUAUAUUGCAUUCCUUUGACAUGGUGCAUGCAAAACUAAAUUCUUGUUCUUCAUUAUUUUCUUCUCGCGUUUUUUGAAUUUGUUGAUUUGUGCUACAAUGCGAUUGAGAGUUAUCUUGAGCGGGAGCAAAGACAUCAAAUCUAACUAGUGUCUUGUUAUGUGUUUUUUUGUGCUACAAUAGGAUCAAGAUUAUCUUGGAUGAAAGCAAGUUAUCAAAUCAAAAGAAGCAUCGUCACUUAUUUGGUCAUUUGUGCCACAACAUGGAUCAACUUAUCUUGAAUAGGAGAUAAGACAGAAAUCAAGGAAAGGGUGAGGUGUACAAAGGAUUGAUAGUGCUUGCACCCUUAACAUCUCUAUAUUUGAGUUUGUUUCUGCAUUUUGUUUUAAUAGAGAGAUUGAGAAAUUGGUGAAGUAACUUUGUUAUUGAAAGUGAUUGUUAAAUGAGAGAUAUUAUAUAUUAAACAACAAUUUUUUAUUGUAUUUUGUUAGUUCAAUGGAACACGGUUAGCUUGGAUAUUUAAGGAGGUAGUUACAUGCGAAAGGUGUGAAGAUUAUUAAAAACUUGCUAAUUUGUUUAAGUUAUACCUUAUAUUGUUCGAAACAUUAGCCCAAUAAAUUUAAUUUUUUUUUUCAAUUAAGGAAAUAUUAUUUGGAUUUAAAACCGAUUCCCCUCUUUUAGAAAAUUAUUUUCUGUUAUCAUGUGUUAGCGGUGUGUUAAACUGCUUAUGGGUAAGUGCAGCGCUGUUCUUGCUUGUUUGCUUGUGUGGCUACUUAUAAAGUUUGUUUGUCGAUUAUGAUUUUCUUGUUGGUUACUAAAUUAAAAUAAUAAUUGAAAUAUAAAAUUAAAAUUAAACUUGGAUGGAAACACUUUAUAUUUAAAAUUCAUGACAUUGUCCUUACGUAAAAAAUAUAAUUUAAAAAACAUUAUAAAAUUGAAAUAUAUACUUAAUUCUUCUUUAGGAGAUAAAACAUGUGUGUAUUGUUACAAAGUGUGCUCUAAACAUUUUUAUUCUCUAUUUAUUUGUAAAUUUCCAAAUAAAUAUAGAUAUUUUAAUAGAGAAUGCAUAUUCUCUAUUUAUUUUCCUUCAGAGUGUUUUUUGUGAUAGAUAUUAUUCGUAUGAUUACAUAUUAUUUUAUUUAUAUUAUUAAAUUUAAUAUGAAAAUUUUUAAGUAAAGACUAUAUAUUAUUCAAAUAUUGUAGAUCUUUUAUGUUGUAACAUCUCUGAAUUGACAAGCAAGUUAAUAACCAUUUUAGUUUUGUAGUAGAAAUUUUAAGACUUAUUAUAGAAAUAUUAUAUAUUAACUGUAUUAAUACAUUUUCAUUUAAGAUAUGCAUGUUAGUUCGUUUAUAAAUGAUAUUAUGCAAGUUUCUAGUAAGGCAAAGAUCGAAAACACAUUCCACUAUAGUUUGGGUAUGUUUUAUUUUACCUCUCUCCUCUCUCUCUCAUUGUCCUUACGUAAAAAAAUAUAAUUUAAAAAACAUUAUAAAAUUGAAAUAUAUACUUAAUUCUUCUUUAGGAGAUAAAACAUGUGGAUGUAUUGUUACAAAGUGUGCUCUAAACAUUUUCAUAUUGUCUAUUUAUUUGUAAAAUUUCCAAAUAAAUAUAGAUAUAGUUUAAAUAGAGAAUGCAAAUUGGUCCUAUUUAUUUUCCUUCAGAGUGCAAUGAAAAAAAAUUAUUUAGUUGCUUAAUGUUGAUAGAUCUAUUUUCGAUGAUUACAUAUUAUUUUAUUUAUAAUUAUUUAAAUUUUAAUAUGAAAAAUUGUUAAGGUAAAGACUAUAUAUUAUUCAAAUAAAUUGUAGAUUUUUUAUGUUGUAACAUCUCUGAAAUUGAGAAGCAAGUUAAUAACCAUUUUAUGUUUUGUAGUAGAAAAUUUUAAGACUUAUUAUACAAAAUUAUUAUAUAUUAACUGUAUUAAUACAUUUUCAUUUAAGAUAUGCAUGUUAGUUCGUUUAUAAAAUGAUAUUAUGCAAGUUUCUAGUAAGGCAAAGAUCGAAAACACAUUCACAUAUAGUUUGGUACACCCCCGCCUUGAGAGACUUUUGACAAUCGCUUCAAUUAUCCCCACCAUAAAUACCAAUGCUUCACAUAUUCGACAUCUUCUAAAGAACAUCUUUAUUAAGAAUUAUUUAAGUCCACAGUCAAUAUCGAGUGGUAUUUCUAAAGAACAAAAAUGAGAUAUUGCAAAAUAUUACAAUGAAGGUUCAAGUGAGUGUUACGAGAAAAGCAACUCAACAGGAUCAUCAAAUCUCUGGAGAUUUAGACAAAAUUUGGAUCUUCGAAGUAACAGUGACCAUAAGGAUUCUUUUGUAUAUUGAAUCCUUCAGAGUCAAAAACGUCAAUAAAGCCCAAUGUAGAAAACAUCAUUAUUAAAAAGAGGAAAGGUGAAAAACCCAAAAAUACAUUAACGGCUUAUGAGAAGCUUUAUGUGACAAAUAAAGCAAGAAAAGGGAGCAAUAAACGAAGAUCACUUUUGCCAUACAAACACGGCUAUUCGGAUUCUUUACCAACAUGCAUGAAUUGAGUAGAAACCUGCACCCCUUUUGAGAUCGAAUUACCACUUUUUUCAUUGUUGAGGAUUCAUUUAUUUUGACAAUGUAGAUUAAUUUAUAUGUAACAAUCAUUAGGUAGUUAUCAUUAGGAUUUAUUUUUCUCUUGAUAAAAAUCAAGUGCUUGUACUUCCCCUUAUGACAAUGAGGAGAGAAUGAUUAAAUCUUUUAUGAUAGAAUCCAUAUUCGCAUAUGUGUAUUAUUAAAGGGUAACACUUGGUACACAUAUAUUUUUCUCAUUUCAGUUAUGAUGGAUCAAAUCGUGAAACAUGAGCAUAAAUUUUAAUUUUUAAUUUCAUCUAACUCCCUCUGUACCCCAUUAAAAUGGAAAAGUUCAUUUUAAGAGUAUAUUUUGUAUUUUCAAUUAGAAUAAUCGUCAACUUCAAUUUCCUACAUGAAAUGAUAUAAUUAAAUAGUUUAUGUGGUGCCCAUAACAAAUAUUCGACCUUACACCUUAUUAUGAAUCCCAUUAAGUGACUUCCUCAAAUGAGAUCAUUGUUUUAAACGAGUUUUUAAUGCUUUUUUUCUAUUAUUAUCUUGUUUCUUAACCGGAAAAUUGAAUAAUAUAGCCUCCAACAAAAUAGAUUUAGAACUCCUUAUGAAUUCUACAUGUUCUUUUUACAUUAGUUUUUUUUCUUCAUGUCAAUAGAGAAAGCACUGUGAAGAAAGUUUAAAUAGGUACGUAAAGUGGUCGCUUAAAUAAUUAAAUAUAAAUAAGACAAAACAAGCAAUAUUAAUUUCUAUCACGAUUUGGAUCUAGAAAAUAAGUAUCUUAUAGUUUUCAUGAUUAUUACGUAUCGAAGAAACAUUUUUCUAAGGGACAUUAUAUAACAAUGCCACAUGAUAACUUUUUUCUUCUCAACUAAAAUGUGUACUUAUUGUAAAAUUAUAUUGGAGGGUAUUUAAAUUUAAUACUCAUAAAACAAAAUAUAUGGACUUAUCUCUUAAGCUUCAAAUAAAUUAAUAUGUAGAUUAUAAAGUUAGAGGUCAAAUAGGAAAAUAAACAGGUAAAAAUAACAAAUAUUUUAUAUAAUAAACUUUCAUACAUAAAUGAAAUUUUCUCUUCCCAUUAAAUGACUUUCUUCCCCGUGUUCUCUAUACUCCCAACAAAUUAAUGUUAAAGUAAAAUAAAAGAAAAAUGUGUUAUCUUAUGUUUUCCAUGCAAGAAAUGAAUCAAAAUGAAAACUUAUGAGAUAGGAGAUAUAGGGAGAUUGUUGUAAUAUAUUAUUAUGUACAAACCCACUCAUCUCCAAGAGCAAAGUAAUAAAACAUCCCCAAACUAUAUGUGAAUGUGUUUUCGAUCUUUGCCUUACUAGAAACUUGCAUAAUAUCAUUUUAUAAACGAACUAACAUGCAUAUCUUAAAUGAAAAUGUAUUAAUACAGUUAAUAUAUAAUAAUUUUCUAUAAUAAGUCUUAAAAUUUUCUACUACAAAACAUAAAAUGGUUAUUAACUUGCUUGUCAAUUCAGAGAUGUUAAAACAUAAAAUAUCUACAAUUUAUUUGAAUAAUAUAUAGUCUUUACCUUACAAUUUUUCAUAUUAACAUUUAAAUAAUUAUAAAUAAAAUAAUAUGUAAUCAUCGAAAAUAGAUCUAUCAACAUUAAGCAACUAAUAAUUUUUUCAUUGCACUCUGAAGGAAAAUAAAUAGGACCAAUAUGCAUUCUCUAUUUAAACUAUAUCUAUAUUUAUUUGGAAAUUUUAUAAAAUAAAUAGGAAUAGAAAAUGUUUAGAGCACACUUUGUAACAAUACAUCCACAUGUUUUAUCUCCUAAAGAAGAAUUAAGUAUAUUUCAAUUUAUAAUGUUUUUUAAAUUAUAUUUUUUUACGUAAGGACAAUGUCAUGAAUUUUAAAUAUAAAGUGUUUCCAUCCAAGUUUAAUUUUAAUUUUUCAAUUUCAUUUAUUAUUUUUAAUUUAGUAACCAACAAGAAAAUCAUAAUCGACAAACAAACUUUAUAAGUAGCCACUAACAAGCAAACUGAAGCGGCUGCACUUACCCAUAGCGUUUAACACCGCUAACACAUGAUACAAGAAAAAUAAUUUUCUAAAAGAGGGAAUCGGUUUUAAAUCCAAAUAUAAUUCCUUAAUUGAAAAAAAUAAAAAAAUAAAUUUAUUUGGCCUAAAAUUGUUUCGAAACAAAUAUAAGGUAUAACUUAAACAAUUAGCAAGUUUUUAAUAAUCUUCACACCUUCGCAUGUAACUACCUCCUUAAAUAUCCAAGCUAACCGUGUUCCAUUGAACUAACAUAAUACAAUAAAAAAUGGUGUUUAUAUAUAAAUAUCUCUCAUUUAACAAUCACUUUCAAUAACAAAGUUACUUCACCAUAUUCUCAAUCUCUCUAUUAAAACAAAAUGCAGAAAACAAACUCAAAUAUAGAGACGUUAAGGGUGCAAGCACUAUCAAUCCUUUGUACACCUCACCCUUUCCUUGAUUUUUCUUGCUUAUCUCCUAUUCAGAUAAAGUUGAUCCAUGUUGUGGCACAAAUGACCAAAUAAGUGACGAUGCUUCUUUUGAUUUUGAUAACUUUGCUUUCAUCCAAGAUAAUCUUGAUCCAUAUUGUAGCACAAAAAACACAUAAACAACGACACUGUAUUAGAUUUUGAAGUCUUUGCUCCCGCUCAAGAUAACUCUCAAUUGCAUUGUAGCACAAAUCAACAAAUUCAAAAAAGCGACGAAGAAAAUAAUGAAGAACAAGAAUUUAGUUUUGCAUGCACCAUGUCAAAGGAAUGCAUAUAUUUGCCGAUGACAUAUUUGAAAAUGGAAAAAUGAGAGCAUUACUGCCUACUUUUGACCAAUCCUUCAAUUAUUCCCCACCAUAAAUAACAAUGCUUCACAUAUUCGACAUCCUCUAAAGAACAUCUUUAUUAAGAAUAUUUAAGUCCACAGUCAAUAUCGAGUGGUAUUUCUAAAGAAACUCAAAUGAGAUAUUGCAAAAUAUUACAAUGAAGGCUUCAAGUGAGUGUUACGAGAAAAGCAACUCACAGGAUCAUCAAAUCUCUGGAGAUUUAGACAAAAUUUGGAUCUUCGAAGUAACAGUGACCAUAAGGAUUCUUUUGUUAUAUUGAAUCCUUCAGAGCAAAAACGUCAAUAAAGCCCAAGUAGAAAACAUCAUUAUUAAAAAGAGGAAAGGUGAAAAACCCAAAAAUACAUUAACGGCUUAUGAGAAGCUUUAUGUGACAAAUAAAGCAAGAAAAGGGAGCAAUAAACGAAGAUCACUUUUGCCAUACAAACACGGGUAUUCGGAUUCUUUACCAACAUGCAUGAAUUGAGUAGAAACCUGCACCCCUUUUGAGAUCGAAUUACCAACUUUUUUCAUUGUUGAGGAUUCAUCUUAUUUUGACAAUGUAGAUUAAUUUAUAUGUAAUAAUCAUUAGGUAGUUAUCAUUAGGAUUUAUUUUUCUCUUGAUAAAAAUCAAGUGCUUGUACUUCCCCUUAUGACAAUGAGGAGAGAAUGAUUAAAUCUUUUAUGAUAGAAUCCAUAUUCGCAUAUGUGUAUUAUUAAAGGUAACACUUGGUACACAUAUAUUUUCUCAUUUCCAGUUAUGAUGGAUCAAAUCGUGAAACAUGAGCAUAAAUUUUAAUUUUUAAUUUCAUCUAACUCCCUCUGUACCCCAUUAAAAUGGAAAAAGUUCAUUUUAAGAGUAUAUUUUUGUAUUUUCAAUUAGAAUAAUCGUCAACUUCAAUUUCCUACAUGAAAUGAUAUAAUUAAAUAGUUUAUGUGGUGCCCAUAACAAAUAUUCGACCUUACAACCUUAUUAUGAAUCCCAUUAAGUGACUUCCUCAAAUGAGAU